GCCGCUAUGGUGGAAUGGUAGACACAUGACAUUCAAAAUGUCACGAGACAUCUCAUGUCGGUUCGAGUCCGACUAGCGGCA
rnacentral:tRNA from 1 species